CGCUAUAAUAGUAGUUGUGAACACGUGACCAAAACUGUUGGUUAGAUAGAGAGAUCCGGGUCCGAACAGCUAUCUCCAUCUGACCGGUCGAGAACAAAGGCGUGCUCGUUCCAGUAUGGUAUAUAUUUCAAUGGUAUAUUUAGAUAGACUAUGCCCCUUCCAGUAUAUAUGUUCUAAGCACAUAACACGCGUUGUCGCCAUUUUGUUGUAGGGUGUCAUGGCCGAAACCGGAAAUCCUGCCGGCCUCAGCUCUUUUGACGAAGUUAGCGAUCUAGUACUAGUAUAGACAUCUGUGGUCCAAUCGUAUUGUCUUACGUGUCCGAUCGUCAAGGCUUCUGCACACAGUACGCGGCAAGCGUUACCGCGUCUUGUGCGCAGGAGCCUUUAUUUUACGAUUUCCCGCGCAAAUUUAUGAGGCAUACUUCAUUUUGCAUGACCUUGCAUAAAAUAAAGGCGCCUUUUUUUUACCGGAAGAUCAAUCGGAUCGUAAUUUAAUAAGCAAAAUGGUAACGAAAUCCGAGAUUCGAAGAAAUGGCAUUAUCUUCCUCGCAUUACAUGUGUUCACGCGCAAUCCUAAUUUUAGUGCUCGAGACGGAUCUGAGGUAAAGACUGCCGAUAGUCUCGGGAUGCCGGCUCUAGGAGCGGCUCUAUUUUUGCUAUUUCUUAAUCUGUAUCACGCAUACUUUUGCCACUUCUAUUGCGGUACGUGCACCCCCGGCCGUGCACGGGACAGCGCAACGUGGCCGGCACAUGGUGCAUGCCAAAUAUAACAGUCGCGGGGAAGCUGUCGCCCGAAAUACACAGCUACUGGCCAUGUAUGGUCUAACGCUAUUUCUAAGCGAUUUAAACACAUAUAUUUAUUUAUCUUUAUAGCAAUUUCGGUUCUUUUACUAUGAACUACUCUCAUCAUAAAUAUUAUAUCUGUUUUUUUUUUAUCUUGUGCAUUUCCUAUUUAGAAUAUUAUUUAUUAAGAUUAUAUUUGAGAAAGACAACAAAACUGAAACAAAUAGAUCUUGCAAUAUUUGCAUUAGAUUUGAGGGGAUCUAAUUAUUAAAAAAAUAUAAAUCUUUUUGAGUGUUUAUGUAAUUACAUAAUCAAAUUAUGUUAUUUUACAUUGAAGAUGGAUUUGCAGUUUGUCAAUUUGCACACCAACGGUCUGAGUAUUGAUAUUUGAAAUAUUUAGUUUGAUUUUUAUAGUAAUAUUAUUAAUAAAGUGAUUUGAGAUGGCAUGAGACUGCACCAAUUGCUGUAUAUAAAAAAUAAAACUGAAUCAUUUAAAUAGUUGCACAAGGGUGGUGGUUUUCUUCCUUAAAGUCACAGUUGGCUCAUAUCUUUAAGUAUUUAACCACCACUAUGAGAACAAUAUUGAAAAAUCACACAACAUAGAGUUAUUAUAUAAUAUAUGAUUUUAUUAUCAUUGUCAUCAAUUGUAUGAUAUAAUAACGAUCCGCCGGACAGCAAUAUGAGCCGACGUCGACGUGGCCGGUCGUAUCAAGUAUCGAUCGAAUUCCUCGUUGUUAUAAUUACCUUACUGGUGUCGCAAAUACCAAAUUUACGCGAUAAUUAACGAGCGAGCGUAUUUUGUGCGUACCGUAAUAUAUAUAACGUAUGUAUACGUGUGUAUAGAUGUGUGAAUGCAUUUAUUGAACCGAGAAAAGGAUUUAUUACUCUCUUGGAUGGGCAAAGAGAUUAUCAAUAAAUUAACGUUCAUAAACAAACAGUCGUGUUGUACAAACUACAAAGUAUAGUACAGUCUGGUAAAUGUGUAGCAUAAAAGCAUUUGUAUAAUUAUUUUAUUUUACGGUCUUUUUCAUAUUUUGUCUUCCUCUCUUUUUCUCUCUCUCUCCCUCUCUCUCUCUCUCUCUCUCUCUCUUUCUCUCUAUCUCUCUCCCUUCUUUCCUUUUCUCCGCAUUUUUAUAAUUUCAAUGAACAUAGCAUAACUUGAAAUACGAUGCAUAGAAAAGAAAACAAAAAAGAGAAAGA
rnacentral:lncRNA from 1 species